GAGUCUGCGAUGGACUUUUGGGUUUCCAAGGGAAGAACAAAGUAGUAGUAAGCAGUAUUGGCAAUAGCCUGUCUACAUGCUUCACACAUACUGGCUGAUCCUUGAAAAGUCUUGCUAUUCUUUGAUGCCAUUACUGACUGUGUGCCAGAGAGGAAAAAAUGACACAGGCCUGGCGGCGAGUGUGGCACCCAGCACCUUCAGCACCGAAGGACCAACUCCCUAACACCUGAGCUCUAGGAAAUCAUUAUGAGGUCUUGGAGACCCUCUAAGCAAAGACUUCUCUUCACUGCCCUGAUGCAUGCUGAACAGCUUCUGGCUUGUGGAGAUAUUUCUUUCCCGGGGUUACCUUACGUUACUAGUUCCAAGAUCAAUGUAUGCAGCCUAAGGGAAGAUUAGAUGCUACUUCCUGCAGAUACCUAUGCAUUACAGUGGGGUAAAAGUCAUGGAUAAAGUCUUCCAGUUUUUAAGUUCACCACAGCUGAAGCAGUGCCUUUGAAGCCAGUUGCUGACUGUGUCCCAAGCAGUGAAGUAGCAGUUCUGAUCCUGUGCAAAGAAGGAUGGCGCACUACCCACGGCGUUAAAGGAAGGAGUAGCAAGUACUGUCUAUAGAUGAAUGAACCUUAAUAGCAGUAUACAUUUUGCUCUUCUGGGUACAUAAUUUCUACUUAAUUAUAAGUCCCGAGUUUGUGACUUUUAUGAGUGCAGCUCCUUUUCCUGUGCAGCAGGCAGUCGCAGCUGUGAUGCCCAGUUGUAGCACAGACACAGAAAUCAUUAAUGAUGCUCUGCAUGGAUCACCAUGCAAGGAGACUGAGACUUCUUCCACACAGAGUGACACCAGAUGUUUGGGGGAAGUAACAGUCACCUCCCAGGCUCAGUUCCUCACUGAUGAUGACUCAUUAGGAAAAUUACUUCUGCUUCCAUUUCUGAGCCCGUUGCUGCCACCUAAUUUCCACUGGGUCCGUUAGUCCGUUCAGAAGCAUAGCAACCCCUACUAGGAACUGCUGCCCUGGCCUGGGAAUUUCUGCUCCAGAGGUCAUUAGAGAGCUUUAUUAAUAAUCAUUGCACUAACCUCCCAGCUAGCCAGUGACAGAAAUGCCAUUUCUCCCAUUUUAUAGCUGAGAAAAAUUAAGCGUAGACAGAUCCAUCACCUGGUUACAAAGUCAAUGGGAACUCUUAAUGCUCCAUAAAUCUCAAAAUCAGGCUGCCAGCAACUUCUCCUAAAGGUAACCUGCAGGAGAGUUAUCCAGGAGACCAAGUUCCUACCCAUCAGGUACACUCCCUGCCCAGUUUACUGGGAGAAACCCGGACACAUCUCUCUGAAUUUCCAUUUCUGCAGUCAGACACAGAGAUGUGGGGAUCUGGAGGGCACGGUCAGGCAGGGGAAGAUUGCUCAGCUCUUCUUGCCCACAGCAGACAUUGCCUCUGUAGGGCAGUGGUACCUGUCUGGUGCCUGCACAGGUGAGAGCCCUCGAGGAAGGGGCAUGAUGCAUUUAAUGAUGGUGUUUUGGCAGAAGGGUAGAAACUAAUUUUUCUUAUAGGAACUCAGUUACAUGUCUGGUCAUCACCAGAAACUUGACUGUGAAAGAAUAUUUGGUUAUUUAAAUAUACAGUUUAGGUUAACUCAGGCUGCUUGAGAUAUGAGUAUAGCAGGAAUUGCGGGGGACUUGUUGGUUAGUUGGUUUUUCUUAAUUGAUUUUAUAAUUCAAUAUUGUAGAAACAAGUAGUGCUAGGAGGGGGAUGCUUAGCAACAUAUAUUAUAGUUAAGAAUUAUAGUUAAGAUUAUAUAGAGUUAUUUAAACAUAAAAGGAUUUUUUUCAAUGCUUUGUAACACCUUUGUCACUUGCAGAUGGAAUUUUAUGCAUGAGACUUAGGCUAACUCCAAGGUGGCGUAGAGAU